rnacentral:snRNA from 1 species
AUGCUUGCUUCCACAGCACAUAUAGUGAAAUUGGAACAACGCAGAGAUUAACAUGGCCCCUGCCCGGGGACAACAUGCAAAUUCAUGAAUUAUUCCAUAUUUAC